rnacentral:rRNA from 1 species
CCUACGGGUGGCAGCAGUGAGGAAUAUUGGUCAAUGGACGCAAGUAUGAACCAGCCAUGCCGCGUGCAGGAUGACGGCUCUAUGAGUUGUAACCUGCUUUUGCACGAGGGUAAAUCCCGAGUGGUGUAUCGGGUUGAAAGUAUCGUACGAAUAAGGAUAGGCUAACUCCGUGCCAUCAGCCGCGGUAAGACGGAGGAUUGAAGCGUUAUCCGGAUUUAUUGGGUUUAAAGGGUGCGUAGGCGGUUCGAUAAGUUAGAGGUGAAAUCCCGGGGCUCAACUCCGGCACUGCCUCUGAUACUGUCGGGCUAGAGUUUAGUUGCGGUAGGCGGAAUGUAUGGUGUAGCGGUGAAAUGCAUAGAGAGCAGACAGAACACCGAUUGCGAAGGCAGCUUACCAAACUACGACUGACGUUGAGGCGCGAAAGCGUGGGGAGCAAACAGGAUUAGAUACCCCUGUAGUC